rnacentral:rRNA from 1 species
AUGGCCGAGUCGGCCGUCGGUGCUGUGCUCGGCAAUGUCAGCACCCUUGCGGUUCAGGAGACCACGCUCCUAUGUGGAGUUAGCCUAGAAGUGGAGUUCCUCAAGGAUGAGCUCAAGCGGCUGCAAGGCUUCCUCCAAGACGCCAACAACAAACGGAGGCGGGGAGAUGAAAGUAUUGUUGUCUUGGUCAGCCAGAUCAGAGAUGUGGCGUAUGAGGCCAACAAUGCCAUUGAAGCCGCUGAGUACAUGCAGAAGAGAAACAGAUUGAAGAAGGGAUUCAUGGGUGCCAUUGCAAGGUAUGCUCGCCUACCAAGUGAUUUGACUACCCUUCACGAAAUUGGUGUCGAAAUCCAACGGAUCAAAAGGAAGAUUUCUGAUAUAUUUGAAAGUGCAAACCGUCUGAAAAUAGUUGAUUUGGGGAAUACUUCAAUAGAAAAUGUUCAUCUUGAUGAUGAGUUCCAACUAGAUUAUGGCCCUAUGCAUCAAAACAUUGAAGAAAUUGUAGUUGUUGGCUUUGAGGGUGAGUACAAAGAAAUAGCGGGGAAGUUAGUGGAGGCAGAGAAGAGCCUUAGUGCUAUCUCCAUCGUUGCUAUGGGUGGGGCAGGAAAAACAACACUUGCUAGAAAAGUCUACACUUCAGAUAGAGUCAAACUACACUUUGAUACAAUUGCUUGGGUUACUGUAUCUCAAAAGUACAAGGUCAUUGAUUUACUAAAGGAUAUUCUAAAACAAAUAGUGGAGAGGAGAGAUGAGUCAAUUGAUAAAAUGGAUGAGUACGAGGUGGGAAAGAAGAUCCAUAAUCUUUUGUUCAAAAAAAGAUACUUAGUAGUUCUUGACGAUGUGUGGGAAACAGAUACAUGGGAGCAAUUAAACAGAACCAUUACUGCCUUUCCAGAUGCAACUAAUGGUAGUAGGAUACUAUUAACCACACGGAAAGAAGAUGUUGCACGUCUUGUUCAGAUGCCAACCUAUGUUCAUUCUUUGAAGAAGUUAGAUGAAGAGAGGAGUUGGGAACUCUUUAGUAGAAAAGCUUUACCAUCGUAUAAAAGGUCUGCUAUAGCUCAUGUGGAUGAGUUUGAAAAACUUGGAAGAAAGCUUGCAAAGAAAUGUGACGGAUUGCCACUUGCACUUGCAAUUUUGGGGGGUUAUCUAUAUAAAAACCUAAAUAAACAAGCAUGGACUGAUAUACUAUUGGAUUGGCCUGCAACAAAAAAUGGAGAGAUGAUGCAAAACAUACUAGCUCGUAGUUACAAGGACCUGCCAAAUCAUUAUUUACGAUCCUGUUUUCUCUAUAUUGCUGCUUUUCCUGAGGAUUACGAAAUUUAUGUGUCGGAUCUUAUGGAAUUAUGGAUAGCAGAAGGCUUCAUUCCACACACACGAAAUCAUAAACUAGAAGAAACAGCACGCAAGUAUGUAGCCGAGUUGGCCCAGAGAAGCCUUGUGCAGGUUACUGGUAGAAGUGAGGCACAUGGAUGGAUUGAGAAAAUAAGGGUUCAUGAUAUUUUACGUGAUUGGUGCAUAGAAGAGGCAAGAAAAGAUAGUUUUCUUGUUGUCAUCGACAAAACUUCAGGCCAAGUUGGUGCAAUAUCAACUGAUAUCACGAUAUCAUAUCGUUACUGUUAUCAGCACUUCAAUGGUCAGAAUUUGCAGGCAUCACGUAAUCUCUGA